UACGGGAGGCAGCAGUGGGGAAUAUUGCACAAUGGGCGAAAGCCUGAUGCAGCGACGCCGCGUGAGUGAGGAAGUAUUUCGGUAUGUAAAGCUCUAUCAGCAGGGAAGAAAGAAAUGACGGUACCUGAGUAAGAAGCUCCGGCUAAAUACGUGCCAGCAGCCGCGGUAAU
rnacentral:rRNA from 1 species